rnacentral:misc_RNA from 1 species
GCACAACUCAGUACUCACUAACUUAACAGCACCAAUACGGCAAUACCACGCAUCUCUCUCCCUCUCUGCCCUGAAACAGAUAAAAAAAAAAUAGUUUCUCUCCUGCAUUUCGAAUUUUAAGCUAACAUAAAAUUUAUGCUCAAAUCGAUUAAAUUCAAGCCAAAAUUCGAACCACACCAUUACAUCAUGAAGAAGCAAAGAACCAAACGUCCUCGCCGAAUUCGCUCUCCGGUUCUUAUCCCGCAUUUGAAUUCAGCUCCUCAAAGGAGCCGAGGUCUCUCUGCUUUCUCUGCUGAUUCAAUCCCCUGCUUCUGCUUAGGAGAUGAAUUAUCUUGCGAUUCAAGCAGAGUUGUAGUCAAAUCCAGCGCAAGUAAGAGAAAAUCACGUGAAACAGAAGGAAUCGAAAGGAUUGAAGACGUUCCGUUUCGGAGAAUCACGAGAUCUUACUAUAAGCAGAAGAAAAGCGAGAGGAAAGAAAAUGAAAUAGAAGUGAGUGAAUCGUCUUGUGUGGAGUCGAAUUCUGGAGCUGAUUCUGAGAAUAAAAGAAGUUCAAAGUUGAAGAAGAGAAGUGUAGACUCAAAGGAAAUUCCUAUAAAUGAAGAUUUUAUGUCGGUUACCAGAUCGGAGAUUUCCUCUGUUCAGCAAAAUUUGUGUUCCGGUAGCCGAAUUUUGGAGAACGUAUCGGAGGAUAAGGAAAAUGAUACCGUUUCUAUCGCUUCUGGUGCGGAAUCAUGCUUGAGAGUUCUCGAAGUCGAUCUUGCUUGCGCAGAGCGCAUCUCUUACGACGAUGCUGCUACGGAAUACUCUUCUAAUCAUGAGACAGCAUUCUCUGAGCUACAAUCGGAAACAUUUUUAGAGAGCUCAUCGGACAUUGAGUUCUCAUAUUACACGCCGUCAAGUUUCUUGGAUACUGGAAGCGAAUUCUCCGAAAAGUCAAUUGAUGAUUCUCCUCCUUCGCAUACUUACUCAUUGUUUCUCGAGUUUAAACAACAAUUCUCGAGAUCAAGCGUUGCUCUAGACAUUAUAAGAUCCUUGCUCAUUGAAGCAGAGUACCUCGAACAUUCUAGCUUUGUGAAGUUCGAAGAUGAGGAAGACGAGGAGAGUGAAUCGGACAAUGUUGAUGAGGAAAUUGAGGACGAUGAGGAUGACGGCGGCGCGAAGGAGGAGUCUCUCUGCAAUGGAGUCAUUCGUCUUCUCAAAGGUGGAAAGGAUUUGCUGUGAUCUUAAUUUCCUCUUGCAUUGAUCUAAUUGAUUAUAUUUGUUCAGCGCUGUUGUCCGGAAUCAUGUAUUGUCAAGAAAACAAUGCCUUCAAGUGAGGAAUAUAUCAUAAUAAUACGUAAACAUAAUCAGCUCGGCACUCUAUUUUCUGAGAAAUGUAUGGUAUCAUUUAGUGAUGAAAGGAGUGAAAUCAAUUGCUUUCAUUAUCUUUUCGAGUGUUGGUGUCUCAUCACAUGAAGCAUUAUGUAUGCAUUCUUGAAAAUCCUUAGUUCUUGUUUUCCUUGUAAUCAGUGAGAAAUAACUGUGAAAUU